rnacentral:rRNA from 1 species
UACAGAGGUCUCAAGCGUUUGUUCGGAUUCAUUGGGCGUAAAGGGUGCGUAGGCGGCGCGGUAAGUCGGGUGUGAAAUCUCGGAGCUUAACUCCGAAACUGCAUUCGAUACUGCCGUGCUUGAGGACUGGAGAGGAGACUGGAAUUUACGGUGUAGCGGUGAAAUGCGUAGAUAUCGUAAGGAAGACCAGUGGCGAAGGCGGGUCUCUGGACAGUUCCUGACGCUGGGGCACGAAGGUCAGGGGAGCAAACGGG